UAAUUUCUGCAAUAAGCCAUUAUGACAGAUUGUAUAAGAAUAAUUGAUUAGCAGAUUAAGUCAGUGUAUCGAUUAAUUAUGAAUCAAUUUGAUUUUCGCCAUCUUUACUAACGACACCUUCUGUCACCAUUAUAAUUUAUGUAAUGUUAUAACAUCGACGCUAGAUGUCACGUCGAUAUGUUCUAUUUAGACAUCUAUUCUCGAGCAAUAAUUUUAUUUAGACAUUUUGUUCAGAAGAUGAAUCAUGAAAAUCAAUAAAAUACUUAAUUAAUCAUUGAAGAUCGAUUAACAUCGACUUUUCAACGAAUAUAAAAAUAUCCUGUGGAACGAAAUUAGAAUUUCUUUUCUAUUAUAUUUUCUUGUUUAAGACAUUUGAUGAAUAUCAAGAAACAUCGAGAAAAAAAAUAUAUGAAUAUAUUGUUUAUUUUUUCUACAAUAAACCAAGGUUUAUAGGUGGAACGAUUAAAAUAAAAAAGAAAUCUUAGCUUUUUGAUUGGAUACAACGAAAGAAAAUUAAAACUAAAAUUCAGGAUAUUAUUCUCUUCAUUAUUUUCGCACUGUUAAUUUUAUGAUACAUUUUUAACAUAUCCCAAGCUUUAUUAGAAUAUAAUGAAUUAUAAAAUAGUAAAUUAUGACACUAAUAAAAAAACUGUAAAGAUAUGUAUGAACAAAAUGGAGAAUUUUAUAUGGAAAGAAAUUCUCGUGGUUCUAAUUUUAAAAAGUGCUGGAAUCCAUCCACACAGGUGAUCGUGUGAUCGAAAAAGCGACUAUUAACUGUAUGGAUAAGAAUUGCGCAGGAUCCAAUUGCUGCAAAUAUUUUUGACUGUCCUUGCUCCAGUAAACUGUGCCAUGUUGCUAUGUCACAAUAAAUAAAGAUAACAUUAUCGUUUGCAUGUGUUUUUACAACGGUAAAAUGUUUAUAAGAAUUUAUAAGAAUUAUAUGUUGCAAAAUUUCAUUUUUCAAUAUGUAAUUGAAAACAUAAAUGUUUGAAUUUUUGAAUUUUUAAUAUGAAGCUUGAAUUAAAAUUUUAUGUCAACAGCAUCGAAGAUUUACGAAAGUUUAAGUAAACGAUUUGUUUGCGUCAAAUGAAGAAAAAAUAUUACAUAUAAGACUAAUUAAAUCUUGGUUUUAUGUUAA